GCAGCUCAGAGGAAACAUUUGUGGAAACCAUCUCUCACUUUAAUGUAGUCACGCUGGUCUGCUUCAGUGACCUUCAAGCCUCUCAAAACGACAUCUGCUUCG